CCCAUUGUGGCUCAGUGGUAAAGACUCUGCCUGCAAUGCAGGAGACCCAGGUUUGAUCCCUGGGUGGGG
rnacentral:tRNA from 1 species